rnacentral:rRNA from 1 species
AACGAACGCUGGCGGCAUGCCUAACACAUGCAAGUCGAACGAGACCUUCGGGUCUAGUGGCGCACGGGUGCGUAACGCGUGGGAACCUGCCCUUAGGUUCGGAAUAACUCCCCGAAAGGGGUGCUAAUACCGGAUAAUGUCUUCGGACCAAAGAUUUAUCGCCUUUGGAUGGGCCCGCGUUGGAUUAGCUAGUUGGUAGGGUAAAAGCCUACCAAGGCGACGAUCCAUAGCUGGUCUGAGAGGAUGAUCAGCAACACUGGGACUGAGACACGGCCCAGACUCCUACGGGAGGCAGAAGUGGGGAAUAUUGGACAAUGGGCGAAAGCCUGAUCCAGCAAGGCCGCGUGAGUGAUGAAGGCCUUAGGGUUGUAAAGCUCUUUUACACGGGAUGAUAAUGACAGUACCGGGAGAAUAAGCUCCGGCUAACUCCGUG